rnacentral:rRNA from 2 species
CUGGUGUCAGCCGCCGCGGUAAUACCAGCACCCCGAGUGGUCGGGACGAUUAUUGGGCCUAAAGCAUCCGUAGCCGGUACUGCAAGUCUUCCGUUAAAUCCACCUGCUCAACAGUUGGGCUGCGGGGGAUACUACAGCGCUAGGAGGCGGGAGAGGCAAGCGGUACUUAAUGGGUAGGGGUAAAAUCCACUGAUCCAUUGAAGACCACCAGUGGCGAAGGCGGCUUGCCAGAACGCGCUCGACGGUGAGGGAUGAAAGCUGGGGGAGCAAACCGGAUUAGAUACCCGGGUAGUCCCAGCUGUAAACAAUGCGGACUCGGUGAUGGGCUGGCCUUGUGCCAACCCAGUGCCGCAGGGAAGCCGUUAAGUCUGCCGCCUGGGGAGUACGGUCGCAAGACUGAAACUUAAAG